GCCGGAGUGAUGGAACUGGUAGACAUAGCGGACUCAAAAUCCGCCGGCCGGAGACGGCCGUGUGGGUUCGAAUCCCACCUCCGGCACCC
rnacentral:tRNA from 1 species